rnacentral:rRNA from 1 species
AACGCGAAGAACCUUACCCAGGUUUGAAAUACAGAGGACAGCUCCAGAGAUGGAGUCUCCCGCAAGGGUCUUUGUACAGGUGCUGCAUGGCUGUCGUCAGCUCGUGCCGUGAGGUGUUGGGUUAAGUCCCGCAACGAGCGCAACCCUUAUCAUUAGUUGCCAACACGCGAGGUGGGAACUCUAAUGAGACUGCCCGGGUUAACCGGGAGGAAGGUGAGGAUGACGUCAAGUCCGCAUGGCCUUUAUACCUGGGGCUACACACGUUCUACAAUGGUCGGUACAGAAGGCAGCAAGACCGCAAGGUGGAGCAAAAUCCCUAAAAACCGAUCUCAGUUCGGAUUGUAGUCUGCAACUCGGCUACAUGAAGUUGGAAUUGCUAGUAAUGACGUGUCAGCAAUAACGUCGUGAAUACGUUCCCGGGCCUUGUA